UACGUAGGGGGCGAGCGUUGUCCGGAAUCAUUGGGCGUAAAGAGCUCGUAGGCGGCUUGGCAAGUCGGAUGUGAAAACUCCAGGCUCAACCUGGAGCCGCCAUUCGAUACUGCUAUGGCUAGAGUCCGGUAGGGGAGUGUGGAAUUCCCGGUGUAGCGGUGAAAUGCGCAGAUAUCGGGAGGAACACCGAUGGCGAAGGCGGCUCUCUGGGACGGUACUGACGCUGAGACGCGAAAGCGUGGGGAGCGAACAGG
rnacentral:rRNA from 1 species